rnacentral:rRNA from 1 species
UACGUAGGUGGCAAGCGUUGUCCGGAUUUACUGGGCGUAAAGAGCGCGCAGGCGGUCGUUCAAGUCGCGUGUGAAAGCCCCCGGCUCAACUGGGGAGGGUCACGCGAUACUGAUCGACUUGAAGGCAGGAGAGGGAAGUGGAAUUCCCGGUGUAGUGGUGAAAUGCGUAGAUAUCGGGAGGAACACCAGUGGCGAAGGCGACUUCCUGGCCUGUUCUUGACGCUGAGGCGCGAAAGCUGGGGGAGCAAACGGG